rnacentral:rRNA from 1 species
UACGUAGGGUGCGAGCGUUAAUCGGAAUUACUGGGCGUAAAGCGUGCGCAGGCGGUUUUGUAAGCCAGAUGUGAAAUCCCCCGGGCUUAACCUGGGAAUGGCAUUUGGGACUGCAAGGCUGGAGUGCGGCAGAGGAGACUGGAAUUCCUGGUGUAGCAGUGAAAUGCGUAGAUAUCAAGAGGAACACCGUGGCGAAGGCGGCAUCCUGGACCAAUUCUGACGCUGAGGAGCGAAAGCCAGGGGGAGCAAACGGG